UGCCUUUAGCUCCAGCCUGCUAACAACACCUGCAACAACAGGAAGCAGCAAUGUUAUUGCUAGUAGUGCAGAUAGGACAUCUGCUCAUGUCAGAGGAAAAAUGACGUUCCUAUUGCAUCCUGGUAUAGGAAGAUCCCCUUCGACCACAAUAUAAACAAUGCAGAGAAGCUGCUGCAUGAAAUAUGAAAGUGAAGCCAUAGUUCAAGGCAGUGGUAUUACUAACCUUCUAACAGAUGGUCAGAAGCUAAUUUAGCUCGUCUAUGCUGGGUUUUGUUUUUCAUUUUGAAGGAAGAAAUUUUUUGCUUGCAGACUCCUGAAUUAGAGAGGGUCUGAAAGCCAAACAAGUUGGGAGCAGGGGAAAGACACAAAAGCUGCCAGUAUUCAAUAAACAGGAAGAAAGAAACAGUGAAGCCACACAGAGACCUCAAGGCUGUGCACAGGAUAUGACUUUUCCUUGCAGCCUUCUUUCAUUCGUGUUUGCAGCUAAUAAGGAUAAAAUCCUCAUCUCCAUUGACCCUGGGAAAGCAGAAAGGAAUCUACUUGCUGUCCCCAGUAGGAGUUUCAUGGUAACAGUUCCACACUGUACCUGUUACUAAGGCCUUUCAGUGACCGAGAUUUCACAGCCCCCAUGCAGUCUAAUCCAGCAUACGUCUGUUCUCACUGCUGGAGUCACUCCUAAGCUUUGACCUGAACCUUUCCUAAGGACAUUUCAGUUUACAAAAUAAACUUACAAAAUAAGUUUACAAAAUAGAGAAACUGUGAAAUCACACACUAUGAGCUGCAGAAGAAUACAUCACAUUUCAGAAGAAAUGUGGUAAUUUAGGACAAAACUAAGUUAAGAGUAUGCCAGAGAAAAAGAAACCAAAAAUUUCACCAUUGACUUAUCCCAGUAAUAUAAUACAGCCUCAGCAUGCAUCUAAC